rnacentral:rRNA from 1 species
CCUACGGGUGGCUGCAGUGGGGAAUAUUGGACAAUGGGGGGAACCCUGAUCCAGCGCCGCCGCGUGAGUGAAGAAGUAUUUCGGUAUGUAAAGCUCUAUCAGCUGGGAAGCAAGAAAUGACGGUCCCUGACUAAGAAGCCCCGGCUCACUACGUGCCAGCAGCAGCGGUAAUACGUAGGGGACAAGCGUUAUCAGGAUUUGCUGGGUGUAAAGGGAGCGUAGGCAGCGAUGCAAGGAUGAAGUGAAAGGCGGGGUCCCAACCCCCGGACUGCUGUGGAAACUGUAUGGCUGGAGUGCAGGAGAGGUAAGUGGAAUUCCUAGUGUAGCGGUGAAAUGCGUAGAUAUUAGGAGGAACACCAGUGGCGAAGGCGGCUUACUGGACUGUAACUGACGUGGAGGCUCGAAAGCGUGGGGAGCAAACAGGAUUAGAUACCCGGGUAGUC